UGCAGGGGCUGGGGCUAGCCGGCCACUUCGGCACCAGCUGAGGCAAACUCUACUCAUUGGAACCGGUUGCACUCAACCUGCCACAGGAGGGAGCAUGCAGAUGUGAAGGCUUAGACUGGAAGACUUUAAAUACUUGUCCAAAGUCUUAGUGCUGGAGUAAAAGGAAGAGUCUCGAAUUGAACCCUAAACAGCUAACCUCUAAACUCUUGCCCUUAAACAAAAGAGUGAAAAGGAGCUUUUAUUAUCUAAUUGGACAUUGGGAGAAACACUCUUAAGCAAAGAAACAAAGGCAUGAGCACAGGUAAAGGUAAGAGUUUGAAAUUGGUAUAAAGCACAUAGCUAAACCUUUGGAAGUCAAUUAAAGGAAAGGCAACUGUGAAGGAGAUUAUUUAGAAAAAAGAAAUGGGAAUUCUCUGACAUCUGGGCAUCUUCUUGCUGUCUUGUCCUGGGUUUCCAGCUAAACUGAGCCCAGCCAAGCUUUUUGACUCCCUCCCAUGGCUUCCAUCUGCCACACAGCUCUGGCCAAGGCCAAACUCAGCCUGCCUUAUUUCCAGAAUUCCUUGCUUCUGCAAAGUCAUCUCGAAGUGAGCCAUAGAGCAGUGUCCUCUGAAUGACUGCACAGCCCCCAAAUAUAUGACUUUCCUGAAGAAGAGAUGACAGCCAGCUGAGGAAGCUGCUCACUGGGAGGAGGUGCAUACUCACUCACCUGCAGUCUCUUCCCACAUCCCCGAGCAGCACAUGUCAGCUGUCCUCUUCUCAUCUGGAAAAAGGAGGAGAGGAGUGGCAGCUUAUUAAAACCUGGCACAGUGCCAGCCUUGCUCAAGAUGUUGUUAUUCAGUCUUAGGAAACACCUUGAAAAUAAACAGUGACUAUUUCCUAUCAUGUAAUAUACAUAGUAUUUAGCAAAUUAGAAGUGCUUAAUAAAAGUCAAUGAAUCCCAAA
rnacentral:lncRNA from 10 species